rnacentral:rRNA from 1 species
UUAAACUGAAGAGUUUGAUCAUGGCUCAGAUUGAACGCUGGCGGCAGGCCUAACACAUGCAAGUCGAGCGGAAACGAUCCUAGCUUGCUAGGAGGCGUCGAGCGGCGGACGGGUGAGUAAUGCAUAGGAAUCUGCCCGGUAGUGGGGGAUAACCUGGGGAAACCCAGGCUAAUACCGCAUACGCCCUACGGGGGAAAGCAGGGGAUCUUCGGACCUUGCGCUAUCGGAUGAGCCUAUGUCGGAUUAGCUUGUUGGUGAGGUAAUGGCUCACCAAGGCGACGAUCCGUAGCUGGUCUGAGAGGAUGAUCAGCCACAUCGGGACUGAGACACGGCCCGAACUCCUACGGGAGGCAGCAGUGGGGAAUAUUGGACAAUGGGCGAAAGCCUGAUCCAGCCAUGCCGCGUGUGUGAAGAAGGCUUUCGGGUUGUAAAGCACUUUCAGUGAGGAAGAAUGCCUUGGGCUUAAUACGCCCGAGGAAAGACAUCACUCACAGAAGAAGCACCGGCUAACUCCGUGCCAGCAGCCGCGGUAAUACGGAGGGUGCGAGCGUUAAUCGGAAUUACUGGGCGUAAAGCGCGCGUAGGUGGCUUGAUAAGCCGGUUGUGAAAGCCCCGGGCUCAACCUGGGAACGGCAUCCGGAACUGUCAGGCUAGAGUGCAGGAGAGGAAGGUAGAAUUCCCGGUGUAGCGGUGAAAUGCGUAGAGAUCGGGAGGAAUACCAGUGGCGAAGGCGGCCUUCUGGACUGACACUGACACUGAGGUGCGAAAGCGUGGGUAGCAAACAGGAUUAGAUACCCUGGUAGUCCACGCCGUAAACGAUGUCGACUAGCCGUUGGGGUCCUAGAGACCUUUGUGGCGCAGUUAACGCGAUAAGUCGACCGCCUGGGGAGUACGGCCGCAAGGUUAAAACUCAAAUGAAUUGACGGGGGCCCGCACAAGCGGUGGAGCAUGUGGUUUAAUUCGAUGCAACGCGAAGAACCUUACCUACCCUUGACAUCGUGCGAACUUUCCAGAGAUGGAUUGGUGCCUUCGGGA